rnacentral:rRNA from 1 species
UACGGAGGGUGCAAGCGUUAUCCGGAAUUACUGGGUUUAAAGGGUGCGUAGGCGGUACAUUAAGUCAGAGGUGAAAGGUUAUCGCUUAACGAUAAAAUUGCCUUUGAUACUGGUGUACUUGAAUCAGAAUGAGGUUGGCGGAAUGUGACAUGUAGCGGUGAAAUGCAUAGAUAUGUCAUGGAACACCGAUUGCGAAGGCAGCUGACUGGCACUUGAUUGACGCUGAGGCACGAAAGCGUGGGGAGCGAACAGG